rnacentral:rRNA from 1 species
GAGUUUGAUCCUGGCUCAGGACGAACGCUGGCGGCGUGCCUAAUACAUGCAAGUCGAGCGAACCAAUAAGAAGCUUGCUUUUUGUUGGUUAGCGGCGGACGGGUGAGUAACACGUGGGUAACCUGCCUGUAAGACCGGGAUAACUCCGGGAAACCGGUGCUAAUAUCGGAUAGAUUAUCUUUCCGCCUGGAGAGAUAAGGAAAGAUGGCUUUUGCCAUCACUUACAGAUGGGCCCGCGGCGCAU